rnacentral:tRNA from 1 species
CGGGAUGUAGCGCAGUUUGGUAGCGCGCUUGCUUUGGGAGCAAGAUGUCGCAGGUUCGAAUCCUGUCAUCCCGA